AACGAACGCUGGCGGCAUGCCUAACACAUGCAAGUCGAACGAGACCUUCGGGUCUAGUUGCGCACGGGUGCGUAACGCGUGGGAACCUGCCCUUAGGUUCGGAAUAACUCCCCGAAAGGGGUGCUAAUACCGGAUAAUGUCUUCGGACCAAAGAUUUAUCGCCUUUGGAUGGGCCCGCGUUGGAUUAGCUAGUUGGUAGGGUAAAAGCCUACCAAGGCGACGAUCCAUAGCUGGUCUGAGAGGAUGAUCAGCCACACUGGGACUGAGACACGGCCCAGAAUCCUACGGGAGGCAGCAGUGGGGAAUAUUGGACAAUGGGCGAAAGCCUGAUCCAGCAAUGCCGCGUGAGUGAUGAAGGCCUUAGGGUUGUAAAGCUCUUUUACCCGGGAUGAUAAUGACAGUACCGGGAGAAUAAGCUCCGGCUAACUCCGUG
rnacentral:rRNA from 1 species